AAUUUUAGCAAUUUAGAUUUUUUUUUUUAAAUUCUAGAAUCAGGCAACUCAUCAUUCCAUAAAGCAGAAGGAAUGUUCGGGUAGGCUGAGCAGGGAGGGCAGCUUCGUGACAGAGAAGAGCUGAAGAAAGCAGAAACAAAGAACAGAAGGUGCUGAAUAUAAUAACAUUCCCAGAGCCCCUGAUCCUGGGAGAGCAGUGUUGGCAGCGUUGUAAGGAAGAGACCAGCAAGGCAGGAGGACAUAGUUCCAAGUACUGGGGAUUUGCUUGCUUUCCAUGGACUCCUAUCUUGCGACAUCUUUCGUAUGACAGAGACAUGGAUUUGUUUCUUUGGCUGACAUCAUUUCAUGGAAAACUACUUUUUUUUUUCCUUUUUCAAGAAUAUAUCCACAGCAUAGAAGAUGGUAUGAAUGGGGUCAGAAUUUGGCAGCUCCUGAACGGAAGAAUAGAUGGGAAAGGUUUCGUUUAUCACCACGUUCGGUCUGCAAUGGUUGGAAGCCCAAGACAGGGAAGGAUUUUCCAUCUCACCAUGCUGCACAUAUGGCAACUGGAAUCCCGUACAGUGGCGGCCACACAGCUGUGUUUCUGUAGAGUUUUACAAGAUGUAUUGGUUCCUCUCAAUUGA
rnacentral:lncRNA from 1 species